UACGUAGGGACCGAGCGUUGUCCGGAUUCAUUGGGCGUAAAGAGCUCGUAGGCGGCUGCUCAAGUCGAAUGUGAAAACUCGAGGCUCAACCUCGAGCCUGCAUUCGAUACUGGGCGGCUAGAGUCUGGUAGGGGGAUCUGGAAUUCCUGGGUGUAGCGGUGGAAUGCGCAGAUAUCAGGAGGAACACCUAUGGCGAAAGCAGCUGCCUGGGCCGUUACUGACGCUAAGACUCGAAAGCUAGGGGAGUAAACAGG
rnacentral:rRNA from 1 species